rnacentral:rRNA from 1 species
UACGUAGGGUGCGAGCGUUGUCCGGAAUUACUGGGCGGAAAGAGCUCGUAGGCGGUUUGUCGCGUCGUCUGUGAAAUUCUGCAACUCAAUUGUAGGCGUGCAGGCGAUACGGGCAGACUUGAGUACUACAGGGGAGACUGGAAUUCCUGGUGUAGCGGUGAAAUGCGCAGAUAUCAGGAAGAACACCAAUGGCGAAGGCAGCUCUCUGGGACGGUACUGACGCUGAGACGCGAAAGCGUGGGGAGCGAACAGG